CAGCAGCCGCGGUAAUACCGGCGGCUCGAGUGGUGGCCACUAUUACUGGGCUUAAAGCGUCCGUAGCUUGGUUGUUAAGUCUCCUGGGAAAUCCAUCGGCUCAACCGAUGGGCGUUCAGGAGAUACUGGCAACCUAGGGACCGGGAGAGGUGAGAGGUACUCCAGGGGUAGGAGUGAAAUCCUGUAAUCCUUGGGGGACCACCUGUGGCGAAGGCGUCUCACUAGAACGGCUCCGACAGUGAGGGACGAAAGCUGGGGGAGCAAACCGGAUUAGAUACCCGGGUAGUCCCAGCUGUAAACGAUGCGCGUUAGGUGUAUCGGUGACCACGAGUCACCGAGGUGCCGAAGAGAAAUCGUGAAACGUGCCGCCUGGGAAGUACGGUCGCAAGGCUGAAACUUAAAGGAAUUGGCGGGGGAGCACCACAACAGGUGGAGCCUGCGGUUUAAUCGGACUCAACGCCGGGAAGCUCACCGGAUAAGACAGCUGAAUGAUAGCCGGGUUGAAGACUCUGCUUGACUAGCUGAGAGGAGGUGCAUGGCC
rnacentral:rRNA from 2 species